GGGCCGGUAGCUCAGUGGCAGAGCAGGGGCCUUUUAAGCCUCGUGUCGUGGGUUCGAUCCCCACUCGGCUCACCA
rnacentral:tRNA from 1 species